rnacentral:rRNA from 1 species
CCUACGGGUGGCAGCAGUGGGGGAUAUUGCACAAUGGGGGAAACCCUGAUGCAGCGACGCCGCGUGUGGGAAGACGGUCCUCUGGAUUGUAAACCACUGUCCCCAGGGACGAAGAUGACGGUACCUGGGGAGGAAGCUCCGGCUAACUACGUGCCAGCAGCCGCGGUAAUACGUAGGGAGCGAGCGUUGUCCGGAAUUACUGGGUGUAAAGGGAGCGUAGGCGGGACUGCAAGUUGGGUGUCAAAUCUACGGGCUCAACCGGUAGCCGCACUCGAAACUGCAGGUCUUGAGUGAAGUAGAGGCAGGCGGAAUUCCUAGUGUAGCGGUGAAAUGCGUAGAUAUUAGGAGGAACACCAGUGGCGAAGGCAGCCUGCUGGGCUGUUACUGACGCUGAGGCUCGAAAGUGUGGGGAGCAAACAGGAUUAGAUACCCCUGUAGUC